rnacentral:rRNA from 1 species
GUAGGGGGCAAGCGUUGUCCGGAUUUAUUGGGCGUAAAGAGCUCGUAGGCGGUUCAGUAAGUCGGGUGUGAAACCUCCAGGCUCAACCUGGAGACGCCACCCGAUACUGCUGUGACUAGAGUCCAGUAGGGGAGCGUGGAAUUCCUGGUGUAGCGGUGAAAUGCGCAGAUAUCAGGAGGAACACCAGUGGCGAAGGCGGCGCUCUGGGCUGGAACUGACGCUGAGGAGCGAAAGCGUGGGGAGCGAACAGGAUUAGAUACCCUGGUAGUCCACGCCGUAAACGUUGGGUACUAGGUGUGGGGUCUUAUCAACGGAUUCCGUGCCGAAGCUAACGCAUUAAGUACCCCGCCUGGGGAGUACGGCCGCAAGGCUAAA